ACGAGAUUUGUUAAUGAAAAGAGCAUUUUCAGAGGUGUUGGCAGGAUUGAGGGAACCACCAGAGCGGCUGAGGCAUCAAGGGACCUGUGACCACCCCCAGGCCGAAGGAGUGUGGGAAGGCGGUGGUUACCAGAGCCAGGGCCAGGGCCUCAGGGUCACCUGGUGGGGUCUGUGCUCCUACAGCCUGGUGAAGAAGAACGAGUGUCCCUCCCUUCUGCUCUCCUCCAUCUGACGUCCUGCUGCGCCCUCCGAUCAGAAGGAAGCCCCUGCUGGAAGCCAGAGGGUGAGGGAGUCAGCUGAGCAGAGUCACCUAGCAGGCUCGUAGACCGGCUUCCUCGACCUGGACACGCUGCACCUGCUUCGCCAGUUUCCGGCAGGCCGAGCCAGGGCGCCCCCGCCUUCCACCACCACGGCAUACCCCGCGGACGUGGUGCAGACCUAAUCCAAGUUCUCCUCGUUUCCGGGAAACCCCAGCGGCUCCCUCCUCAGAACACACCCCGGAUCUGCCCACUCGACCCCUGCAUCACGCAGCGGACUCCCACCGGCUUCCCUGCCGCGUCGCCACCAUCUGUGCUCCACGCCACAGCUAAGGGGAGCCUGACCGCACUCGCGGGCCACGUGGGCCCUCCGCCCACAGCCCCGCGCUGCUUCGCUGGGCCCGCACAAGCAAAAGCGUGACGGUCUGCUCCGGGCCCUCCACCUUCUGCCUGCCCUGCUUUUCACGUAGCGCUUAGCACCUCUCCACUGACCGCUGUAAUUCCUUGUCCUCCUUUUGCUUUUGUUCUGUCUUCCCACACUCGGGCACCAAUUCCGUGAAGGCCCGGGUUGGUCUGUUUUGCUCACUGACAUACGAUGAGGAGGAGGAGGGAGCCGGGCCUGGCCCAGGCCUGGCCCAUGGGAGGUGCUUAGUAAAUAUUUGCUAAGUGAAUGAAUGCACGGAAUGCAUUUCUAUUUCCAGCCCCAGCCAGGCCCCUGGAAACCCAGAAACACAGGCAGAUCUGCAAAGAAGAAAGCCCUCACUUUCGGGGUUUGGGAAGGGUUUCUGUUUGAGGCGCUGGCUAAGGCACUGGUUUUUCCCUCCGUGAAUCUCCCCGCACCUCCUGCACGCCUCCUGCCUGUGGGCUUCACAGGCCGCUGAUCUGACAGGCUGGGUUAGGGGAAGGGGGCUUUGGGUGGGGGCAGAGCGCUGAGGCCCCAGGCUGUCCCCGCAGCUGUUCCAUUUGCAAAUGCCUGGAAUUCUGGAACGGUUCCCACCCAGCCGAGCCAGGGCCAGCUGAGGCCUGACCGCCUUUAAGCUGGCCGCUGGGCGGGCCCUUCUGCCACAACCUUCCCUGUCUGUCCUCGCCCUGGAGCCCAGAGGCCAACCUCGUGGGCGUGGCGGGCCCCAGUGUGCCCCCUCCCAGCGCCCCCUGGGGAGAGGCAGCUCAGCCUGGGCCCCCUCACUGUCACACGCCCGAUGGCUCAGGCCACUCCACGAGUCCCAAGGCAGAUUUUCCAUUAGCAUCAAACGCACGCGGGUCCUGACCUGCAGCUGAUGCGAGUGGAAGGGAGAAGCAUUUAGGUAACUCGUGUACGGGGUGGCGGGCGGGGAGUCUCCAGGCCAGACCCCCGAAGGGCACUGCACCCCAGCAUCAGGGUCGGGGACGGCGCUUUGAGGGUAGACCCUGGUGCACACCCCUCUGCUUCCGUCCAUCUGUUUCACGCUCAGACAUGGACCCUCCUCAAGGGUGAGCGCUACAGCCUAGGGGGUACAAGGUAGGGGGAUUCAAUGAUCUGCCAGGCUGCAAGAGCCCACUGGAUGCCUCUACACCCCAAACAUUCGUGGAGCACCUACUGCCUAGCACUGUGAGCUCUGUGGAGCACAUGCACCCAUAUGGCGCACUUGCUAUGGGCCUGAGAAAGUAGGAGGCGCUCAUGGGUGAGGUGUCAGGCCCCGAAAUGCAAAUCUUCUAGGGGUGACAGCAUCAACAAUUCACGUGCUGUCAGGUGCUGGUGGCUUUCACCUUCCCAGACACAAUGUCCUCUUCAUCUAGUAACAAAAUCCCUCUUUGCUUUCCUUCAGUGAAACCUCCUCGCCCCCUUACCCUCACGAUGGCUUCUGUUAUUGGUGGGACAGCCUCCCUGUCCCCAGAGUGGUCACGGAAGCUGGCUGGAGUCCCGCGACCCGAGGCCAGCCAACGAGAGAGCGAGAGAACGGUGCUCCCCCACCCACAGGAAUCAGCUCAGCAACGGCCAUGUGACCCAAGCCCGCACAAUCCAAACCCUGCCCAGGAUUUUUCUGGAAGGGUGAAGGCAGAACGACCCUGAUCCUCCAAGCUGGGAGUUCUGGGGACCCCCUAGGCCUCGAGCUCCCAGGCCAUCAUCUUUGCCGGGAGCAAAGCCAACAUCAGUGAAAUUAAGUUUAGAGUCUGAGUUAAGGUGGUACCCAGUGUGGCUUUCCAGCUCCUGGAUGCGGCUGUGCCUGAAGGUAGCUGCAUCCUACACUUGCUAGUUAAGUCAACCAGCAAACUCUCUUCUUUUCUGAAAUGAGCUUGGCUUGGGGUCCCAUCACUUGCAACUGAAAGGAAUCCUCAGUGCCACUGAGCAAUGUUAAUUCUCAAUGUAUUGAAACGGCGUUCUGUAGACGGUUACGGGGAGCAAACCAAUGAGAAGGUACUGGUAAGAUAAAGCCUUCCUGGCUCUGAAAAGUCGGGGGGGGAUCUCAGGUUUGGGCAGAUACACGUGUGGACCCCCCUCACCCCUGCGCUGUUUCCGAAACUGCCCAUCUAGGCUGGUCCAGCUGAGCUGUUUCCUAAAGAAUCUUUGCAAGCAACUAGAAUGGACCCUUAUCAAAGAAUUAAUUCCCGGAACUAAGAACAGCAUAAAAUAUUUCCAAACCAUGAGUUCCUCCUCCUAAGAAUUCCCACGAACAUGGUGAAAACCUGGGCAGGUCUGUGAGCCCCUCCAGUGGGGGGUCUGCUCAUCUAGACGCGCACCCCCACCUGUCUCCCUCCCCCUCACCGCCCCCCCCAGCCACGUGUCUCUGGGGACAUCUGGGAUGGAGCUAGCCACAGGGGAGCAGAUGGUACCCGUGUGGGCAAACGGCGCAGGGGCCGCUCAGGGCCCUCCUGACCAGGGGCCGGCUGGGGGGGCCCGGCCUGCUGACAGGAGGUGGAGCUACCAGGUGUCGGCGCCUGCGGGAACCCAGAGCAGGGCAGCGGAUUCUGCGGUGUUCUACGACUCCCCUUGGCAGCCCACCUCCGCCGGGCCCUCACAGGAGCCACAGAGCAUGAGGCAGCAUCCAGCGAACAGAGAAGAGGCUUUCCUCUCUCCAGCCCCUCCACAGACAGUGGUCAGCUGGGCCGGGCAGGGGACUGACACCGGAUUGGUCCGUCCUAAUUCUGCAACCCUCUGUGGACAGAUGGCCCCGCGCGGCUGGGCAACAGCGCCUGCCCUCGGCCUGGGGCUGACCGAGGUGUCAGAGGCAGUGGCUGCGAGCGCGGGUGCGUGAUAGAGCCAGGGCUCCGGCCCGGGGGCGAGCGGCCGUCCGGUGGCAAUGGUGUGCUGGUCCCUUGAUGAGCAGAAGGCGGGGCGUCAGAGGCGGCCCCAGGGCAGACGCAGAGGGAUGCACAGAUGGAGAGAGGACACAGUGCAUCGGCGGGGGGAGGGUGGAGAGCAAGGUGAGGUGGUGGACACAGGGCGAGUCCCGCUUUGAACUGCUGGGUCUGGGGUGACGGGCCCCCCCCGCGGAGGGAAUGUCCCACCACACCAGCGGAGAGGUGCCUGAGUUCGGGAGGGGCCAGGGCUGGCCCAUGGGCCUGGUGUGCGGGCCGCCCCCACCAGCCACGUGCUCUGAGCCGCUUCUGCAAUGUUUAUGGAAAUGUAAUUUUCCGGGAGAUGCAUGUGUAAUUGAGAAUCUUUUAAUGUCUGUUUCCAGUCGCUGUUCUCGCUUGAGUGAUUACAAGCAUGGAGGGAGCCGAUUGUGCCCAGGGCGGUAUCCACGGGUGCGGGGCCCUGGGGACCUGUUUCCACCACCCCUGUGCCACUUCAUCUGGAGUAGGCCUCGGGGUCCAGAGCAGAAAGUGACCUCACACAUGAGCCCGUCUCUGUCAUGUGCCACGUUCUGGAAGCUUAACCCACGCACCUCCCUCUCUGGACGCCAGAGCCUGAGCCCCACGCAUUGGCGGGGCUGUGCUCCCCAGAAGGUUCCAGGGCGGGUCCUGCCUGCCUGUCCCGGCUGCGGCUGGUUACCCGGACUCCUCCGUGUUCCAUGGCUUGUGUCGCGUCACCCCAGGCUCUGUCACAUGGCCUCCUCCGUGCGUGUCUGCGGGUCCUCCACUCACAAAGACACCAGCCGUUGGGGUGCACAUGAACUUUGGGGGAACCCUAUUCAACCCAGUCCACCGUCCCACGAUCCUGCACGACAGUUGAGGAACCUGAUCUAAAGGGUGAGGUUUUCCAGGCCGGCUGGGAUGGGGCUUGGACCACAGCCUGUCUCCCCCCGCACCCUGCCCCUCCAAUGCCCAGCUUCCUUAGACGCUCCGGGCCUCCCAUAUGCUUGCCACUGAGCGUGCAAAACUCUCGGGCCCUGCUUCCAGCCGGCCAGGGUCCCCCGUCCAGGGCCCAUCCUCCCUCUCCCUCCAGUUUACAGAUACACUGUGAAGUGGAUAAACUGGGAUGCAGUAUGUGGUGUGUGCUGGCUCUUGUCUAAUAAAGGGUAAAAGUAUGAA